rnacentral:rRNA from 1 species
UUUUGGACAAUGGGCGAAAGCCUGAUCCAGCAAUGCCGCGUGAGUGAAGAAGGCCUUCGGGUUGUAAAGCUCUUUUGUCAGGGAAGAAACGGUGAGAGCUAAUAUCUCUUGCUAAUGACGGUACCUGAAGAAUAAGCACCGGCUAACUACGUGCCAGCAGCCGCGGUAAUACGUAGGGUGCAAGCGUUAAUCGGAAUUACUGGGCGUAAAGCGUGCGCAGGCGGUUUUGUAAGUUUGUCGUGAAAGCCCCGGGCUCAACCUGGGAAUUGCGAUGAAGACUGCAAGGCUUGAAUCUGGCAGAGGGGGGUAGAAUUCCACGUGUAGCAGUGAAAUGCGUAGAGAUGUGGAGGAACACCGAUGGCGAAGGCAGCCCCCUGGGUCAAGAUUGACGCUCAUGCACGAAAGCGUGGGGAGCAAACA